rnacentral:rRNA from 1 species
UACGAGGGGGGCGAGCGUUGUUCGGGAUUAUUGGGCGUAAAGGGUGCGUAGGCGGCCUGACAAGUCUGAUGUGAAAUCCCUGGGCUCAACCCAGGGCCUGCAUCGGAAACUGUCGGGCUUGAGUAUGGGGAGAGGUGAGUGGAAUUUCCGGUGUAGCGGUGAAAUGCGUAGAUAUCGGAAGGAACACCUGUGGCGAAAGCGGCUCACUGGACCAUUACUGACGCUGAGGCACGAAAGCUAGGGGAGC